CCCAGAUUUGAAAUCUGGCCUUCUGGCCCGAAUUGUAAUCUGUAGAUGAGUCUUUGGGUUACGUGCCGUCCAAGUCCCCUGGAAUGGGGCGCCAUAGAGGGUGAGAGCCCCGUACCGACGUGCGCCGCGCCUGUUUAAAGCUCAUUCGAAGAGUCGAGUAGUUUGGAAAUGCUGCUCUAAUUGUGGGGUAAAUCUCCCAUAAGGCUAAAUACCGGCCAGAGACCGAUAGCGCACAAGUAGCGUGAGCGAAAGAUGAAAAGAGCCUUGAAUAAGGGCGUCAAAAAGUAUGUGAAAUUGUUGUGGGGGAAGCGCUUAGUGCCAGACGUGGCGGCGGUUGGUUACCCGGUGUUCUUCGCCGGCGCACUCUUCCGUCGCCAGGCCAGCAUCGGUUCGGCUCGGGGCUCAAUGCUGCAGGGAACGUGGCUCUUCGGAGUGUUAUAGCCUUGUAGCGACGUCCCGGACCGGACCGAGGUUCGCGCAUCUGCUCGGAUGCUGGCGUAAUGGCCCUCAGCGACCCGUCUUGAAACACGGACCAAGGAGUUGACCUAGCACGCGAGUGUUUGGGUGUAAAGCCCUCACGCGCAGUGAAAGCGAACGCAGGUGGGAGCCUCGGCGCACCAUCGACCGAUCCUGAAGUUUACGGAUGGAUUUGAGUAGGAGCGUGUUGGGUCUGACCCGAAAGAAGGUGAACUAUGCAUGAAUAGGGUGAAGCCAGAGGAAACUCUGGUGGAGGCUCGCAGCGGUUCUGACGUGCAAAUCGAUCGUCAAAUUUGUGCAU
rnacentral:rRNA from 1 species